rnacentral:rRNA from 1 species
AUUGAACGCUGGCGGCAUGCUUUACACAUGCAAGUCGAACGGCAGCGCGGGCUUCGGCCUGGCGGCGAGUGGCGAACGGGUGAGUAAUGCAUCGGAACGUGCCCAGUAGUGGGGGAUAGCCCGGCGAAAGCCGGAUUAAUACCGCAUACGACCUGAGGGUGAAAGCGGGGGACCGAAAGGCCUCGCGCUAUUGGAGCGGCCGAUGUCGGAUGAGCUAGUUGGUGGGGUAAAGGCUUACCAAGGCGACGAUCCGUAGCUGGUCUGAGAGGACGACCAGCCACACUGGGACUGAGACACGGCCCAGACUCCUACGGGAGGCAGCAGUGGGGAAUUUUGGACAAAGGGGGCAACCCUGAUCCAGCCAUGCCGCGUGCGGGAAGAAGGCCUUCGGGUUGUAAAACGCUUUUGUUCGGGAAGAAAUACUCUGGGCUAAUACCCCGGGGGGAUGACGGUACCGGAAGAAUAAGCACCGGCUAACUACGUG